CUGUGUUCUUUCACUCUUCUUUCCUCUCAUCUUCCCGCCAGCAUUACUGAAUAAGCCCCACCACAGUCUGUGGUAGAAAUCCUGUGAAUCACAGAAAUGUGACUUUAUCGGGAAAUGCAAAGCGUGACGCUGCGGGUCAUCACCAUAGUUCCUGCUUUGACUGGCAGAGUAACCGAGAAGGGAGUAGAAGAAUAAGCCACAGGGAUUGGGUUAGCCCUCUGGAUUUUCAGAAUGUCUGUGUCUGAAUCAGGCAUUGCAUGUAAUGAACCUCCCAUGAAGAAGAAACUCGGAUCUGGGAUCGGGAUGACUCUUCAUCAGCCAUGAUGAGUCAGUGUCUGCUGGAGGUCAAGCAUGGGACUCACCUCAGUUGUGUCUGACUCACAAGAACCGCUGCCCCUCGGGGCGCCUGGGGGGCUCAGUUGGUUAAGCAUCUGUCUUCGG